rnacentral:rRNA from 1 species
CCUACGGGAGGCAGCAGUGAGGAAUAUUGGUCAAUGGGCGAGAGCCUGAACCAGCCAAGUCGCGUGAGGGAGUACUGCCCUAUGGGUUGUAAACCUCUUUUGUCGGGGAGCAAAAGCCGGACGUGUCCGGCUGUGAGAGUACCCGAAGAAAAAGCAUCGGCUAACUCCGUGCCAGCAGCCGCGGUAAUACGGAGGAUGCGAGCGUUAUCCGGAUUUAUUGGGUUUAAAGGGUGCGCAGGUGGAUUUUUAAGUCAGCGGUAAAAUCGUGGGGCUCAACCCCAUCCAGCCGUUGAAACUGGGGAUCUAGAGUGUGCGAGAGGUAUGCGGAAUGCGUGGUGUAGCGGUGAAAUGCAUAGAUAUCACGCAGAACCCCGAUUGCGAAGGCAGCAUACCGGUGCACAACUGACGCUCAGGCACGAAAGCGUGGGGAUCGAACAGGAUUAGAUACCCUUGUAGUC